rnacentral:lncRNA from 1 species
CAGUGCUUCUUGCAAAAGAAAAGACGAAUCCCAAAAAAAAUACAAGCAUUCCUGCUCUUAAUCCAGUAAUUGAAAUCAACUUAAAACACAACAAAGUGCUCGUCGUCGAAGGUAACCGAAGUUCUGAAGAAAUUACCGGAAUGUGCCGAAGUCCCAGUCCUUCAGAAAAACCUUGAGUCUGCAGUCACAAGUGCUCGCCAUCGAAGGUAAGCCCAGAUCGAUUUUGUAGAACGGGUGGAGACACGGGCGAGUUGUUCUGUCAAAUUCGAGAAAUGUAUGGAUUUUAGAUCGAACUCCUUUCGUACAAAAAGAGGAUAACAAAGGAUAAACGCCCUUACAAUAGUUCGUACUUGUCGUGCUGUUGGUAGUUAGUAGUCUACUUGCUCGCCGUUGACGGUCCGACCAGUUCAAUCGUGUGGAGAAUGGUGCGAAUCGCCUGAUUUGUUCUCUUCAAAUGGUGAGAAAAGGGUUCCAUUCAAGUGGGCAAGUGGUUUUGUCGGUGCAGUUCUACUUGCUCGCCGUCAACGGUCCGAAUCAUCUCCGAAUCGCCUGAUUUUUUCUCUUCAAAUUAUUGUGGUGUGAAAUGGGUCAGGCAAGUGGUUUUGUCGGUGCAGUUGGUAAG